AGGCGGCCCGCAGACCUGCCCGUCGCCCUGGCCCCCACUGCAGGGAGAGGGCCAAGCCCUGUCCCACACAGAAGGGAGCUCAGCAGUGUGUCAGUAAUCUGUCCCCUAGAUGCCCCACGGGGCGACACCACCCUGGUCCUGCCUCUGGGCUAUUCCGUCUGCAGCCCCUCAACCUCUGCCGACCUCGGCCCUAGACCCCCAGACCCACCCAGCCCCCCACACCCAGCUUGGGGCAGGGCCUGUCUCCAGCCAGGCCUCAGGGUGUCGGGGUGUCUGGAGGGCCGGGGUGGGGGCCGAGGCGCGGGACAGCUGGCCUGUGUCCCCACGCCGGGCCCGGGGCCCAGCCGGAGGGGCGGGGGCCUGGCCACUCAGGCCUUGGCUGGGGCCAGGAUUUUUGGCCGGGCUGCCGGGCCCUCCCUCCAGCUUCCUCUGCUGAGGGCUGUCCUGGCAGGGGCCCCCUCGCACUUUUCUGGCGGGAACACGGCCAGCAUGGAGAGAACAGCCACAGAGGGAAAGCGGGAAGGAGAUGGGGGAAAGUGUGUGUGUGUGUGUGUGUGUGUGUGCGCGCGCGUGUGUGUGCGCAGGAAAAAGGCCCGCAGUCCAGUCCGACCCAGCCUGGGAGGCUCUCGCUGGCCCUUUCGUAAUUGCCCCCUCCCAGGCCCCCUCCCCCAGCUCCCCCUCCACCGCCCGCCCUCUCUCCCUCCCUCCUUCCUCGCAGCAACGACCAGGCAGCAAUUACGCUUUGGGGAUAAAACGAGGCGCAGAGCGCGGCCAGGGCAUUCCUCCCCGAGAUGGCGGGUCUGACGGCGGCGGCCCCGCGGCCCGGAGUGCUGCUCCCGCUCCUGCUCUGCCUCCUCCGCCCCGCGCAGCCCGGAGGGGUCCCAGGGGCGGUUCCUGGUGCCAUCCCCGGAGGUGUUCCUGGAGGAGUCUUUUAUCCAGGGACUGGGCUCGGAGGCCUGGGAGGAGGAGGGCUGGGACCUGGAGGCAAACCACCUAAGCCAGGCGCUGGGCUGCUGGGGACAUUUGGGGUCGGUCCUGGCGGGCUCACUGGUGGUGGUGUCACAGCUGGGGCAGGAAUCGGGGCCUUUCCCGCAGGUACCUUCCCAGGGGCACUGGUGCCUGGUGGAGCGGCCGGGGCUGCUGCUGCUUAUAAGGCUGCCAAGGCUGGGGCCGGGCUUGGCGGCGUCGGCGGGCUUGGCGUUGGCGGCAUCGGAGGGCUUGGUGGCAUUGGUGGAGUUGGCGGCUUGGGAGUGUCUACAGGUGCUGUGGUGCCUCAGCCCGGAGCAGGAGUCGGAGUUGGAGCUGGAGUGAAGCCAGGCAAAGUGCCAGGCGUGGGGCUCCCAGGCGUGUACCCGGGCGGAGUGCUCCCCGGCGCAGGAGCUCGCUUCCCUGGAGUGGGGGUGCUCCCAGGGGUCCCCACUGGAACCGGAGUCAAGGCCAAGGCCCCAGGCGGCGGAGCUUUUGCCGGAAUCCCAGGGGUUGGGCCCUUUGGGGGCCAGCAGCCUGGGGUGCCCCUGGGGUACCCUAUCAAAGCACCCAAGCUGCCAGGAGUGGCUGGUGCAGCGGGCAAAGCCGGCUACCCGACAGGGACAGGGGUUGGCCAGGCAGCAGCCGCGGCGGCGAAAGCAGCUAAGUUUGGUGCUGGAGGAGCAGGAGUCAUCCCUGGCAUUGGAGGGGGCGGCAUCCCUGGCGCGGCCGGCGCCAUCCCCGGGAUUGGGGGCAUCGCAGGGGUUGGGACUCCUGCAGCAGCUGCCGCUGCGAAGGCUGCCGCGAAGGCCGCCAAGUACGGAGCUGGUGCAGGCCUAGUGCCUGGUGGGCCAGGAGUUAGGGUCCCAGGUGUUGGGAUCCCAGGUGUCAGCCGCCCCGGUGUUGGUAUCCCAGGUGUUGGGAUUCCAGGUGUUGGGAUCCCAGGUGUCGGGAUUCCAGGUGUUGGGGUCCCAGGCAUUGCAGAUGGAGCAGGGCCUCUCGGGCCAGCUGCAGCUGCUAAAGCAGCGGCCAAAGCAGCUAAAUAUGGGGCCCGGGCCGGAGUGGGAGUCGGGGGCAUCCCCACCUUCGGGGUCGGGGUUGGGGCCGGAGGCUUUCCUGGCUUCGGAGUCGGACCCGGAGUCGGGGUCGGACCUGGAGUCGGAGUUGGAGUCGGAGGUGUCCCCACAGCUGGCCUUUCUCCUGCAGCCCAGGCCGCUGCCGCCGCCAAAGCUGCCAAGUAUGCAGGAGCUGGAGCCCUGGGAGGACUGGUGCCGGGUGCAGUGCCAGGCGUGCCAGGAGCAGUACCAGGUGCAGUACCAGGUGCAGUACCAGGAGCAGUACCAGGUGUAAUACCAGGAGCAGUACCAGGUGUGCCCGUCACCGGAGCGGUACCAGGAGCAGAUGCCGCAGCAGCUGCGGCCGCCAAAGCCGCCGCCAAAGCAGCCCAGUUCGGGGUAGGCCCCGGCAUCGGUGGGGUUCCAGGCGGUGUCGGCGUUGGUCCUGGUGGCCUCCUGCCUGGUGGCCUCCUGCCUGGUGGUAUCGGACCUGGCGGUAUUGCAGGAGCAGGGGUCCCAGCUGCAGCCAAGUCCGCUGCUAAAGCAGCUGCCAAAGCCCAGUACCGGGCCGCUGCUGGGCUGGGCGCUGGUGUCCCUGGCUUUGGAGUUGGUGCCGGAGUUCCUGGUUUCGGGGUUGGUGUCCCUGGUGCUGGAGUUGGUGUUGGUGUCCCUGGAUUCGGAGCUGGGGUCGUACCUGGAUCCCUGGCCGCAGCUAAAGCAGCUAAAUACAGAGCAGCAGGGGUCGGGGCCCUGGGAGGACCUGGCGUCCUGGGAGGAGUAGGUGUCCCUGGCGGUGUUGUAGGAGGCGUGCCCGCUGCCUCGGCCGCCGCUGCCAAAGCUGCCGCCAAAGCUGCCCAGUUCGGCCUGGGGGGCGUCGGUGGGCUUGGAGCUGGAGGACUGGGAGUUGGAGGCCUCGGAGUCGGAGGACUGGGACUUGGCGGACUCGGAGGUGUGUCUCCAGCUGCUGCUGCUAAAGCAGCCAAAUAUGGCGUGGCAGCCAGACCUGGCUUCGGAUUGUCCCCCAUUUACCCAGGUGGUGUUGGGGGCCUGGGAGUCGGUGGCGGGGCCUGCCUGGGGAAAUCCUGUGGCCGGAAGAGGAAGUGAGCUUCCGGGGGACCCCUGACUCUCGACCUCAUCUACGUUGGUGCUACUGCUUGGUGGAGAAUGUAGACCCUCUGAAACCCCACCCCACCCCACCCCCGCCCUGGAGGGGACGGCAGGCCGGCGGCCUUGGACACCCACAGACAGGACAAGGAAACAAGAGCGGGGUGGCCUCGGGCCCCAACGGGGGGCCCCUCUUUCAGACGCCACGGCUGGGUGGGCUGGGGCCCUCCCNNNNNNNNNNNNNNNNNNNNNNNNNNNNNNNNNNNNNNNNNNNNNNNNNNNNNNNNNNNNNNNNNNNNNNNNNNNNNNNNNNNNNNNNNNNNNNNNNNNNCUCCACCUCCGGGGAAAUUGGUGCUACACGCUGGUGCUUUCAUCUUCCUGGGGGAGGAGGAGGGAAGGGCAGCCUUGGGGAUCCCCCUCCCCAGGGCUUCUCUGAAGAUGGUGCCCACGCUUCCUGGGCAGUGCCACCUCCCCCUGCCCAUCAGGAGCCACCCUGGCUGCGGUCCAGUUGGUACCCAAGCGCCGGAAACCUAAAGCUGGAUUCGGUCACACUGACCCCCCCUCCCCCUCCCCAUGGCUGUUCCCCACACCCGAGGCCUCUUACAGUCCCCGGAUGAAGCCCCCGGGAAGACCCCACACAUACAACACUGGGAAUGGCCCCCCUUGCUCUUGAGGAGCCCGCCUGCCCGUCCAUCCAUCUAUCCAUCCGUCCGUCCUUCCGUUCUUGUCCCCCGUCAACUGCCCAGCGCCACUAGCUGGCUGGGCACACCUGUCGUGGCAGCCUGCGCCCCGCCUCCACCCCACCACACCCCGACGCUGGCCCAGGGUGUGAGAGGCCGUGUGGGCUGGGGGGACAGGACCCUGGUCCCCAGCCCCGAUCUCCCCACACGCAGUACUGUACCCCCGACCCUCCCCUGAGCCACGUAACUACAGAGCAUGUCUCACUCCCACCCCCAUCUCUUUGUGUCUCGCUGUGAUAGAUCAAUAAAUAUUUUAUUUUUUGUCCUGGAUAUUUUGGGAUGAUGUUUGCUUGUUGAUGUUUUUCUUUGGGUUUUAUUUUUGUGGUGCAUUGGAAAAAAAUUUUUUUUUUUCUUUUUGCUGAUCUGGGGAGCUAUACCCCAGUAGAAAUUUCAUUUUAAUCGCUCUGGUAUAACUCUGAAUGGAACACAUUUAAAAAAAAAAAAAAAAAAAAAAGGAAGAAUUAAUUGCUUCAGAAAAGACUAAUAAAUGAAAACCUUUUCAAGGAAACUGUCUUGGAUUUCUUUGUGUUUUUCCACCUGGCCUGGGGGGAGCUGCAGUGGGGGGACCUCGACCACCUCCCCCGCCCCACCAUGUGCUGGGGAGGCUGCUGACCCCAGGCAUCCCCUGUGGACAUCUAGGGCAUCCACCCUUCUCCAAGCUCUACUUGUCUUUAACAAUGACCUCCAUAACCUGGGUGUGAUGGUGCACCCCUGUAAUACCAACACUCAGGAGGCUGAGGCAGGAGGAUUGUGAUAAAUUCGAGGCCAGCGUGUACUACAUAACAAGAC
ensembl:lincRNA elastin